rnacentral:rRNA from 1 species
GACGAACGCUGGCGGCGUGCUUAACACAUGCAAGUCGAACGGAAAGGCCCUGCUUUUGUGGGGUGCUCUGGUUGCGAACGGGUGGGUAACACGUGAGUAACCUGCCCUUGACUUUGGGAUAACUUCACGAAACUGGGGCGUAUACCGGAUAGGAGCUCCUGCUGCAUGGUGGUGGUUGGAAAGUUUCGGCGGUUGGUCAUGGACUCGCGGCUUAUCAGCUUGUUGGUGGGGUAGUGGCUUACCAAGGCUUUGACGGGUAGCCGGCCUGCGAGGGUGGCCGGACACAUGGGACUGGAGAUACGGCCAGCACUCCGGCGGGAGGCACAAGGGGGGAAUAUGGCACAAUGGGAGGAAGCGUGAGGCAGAAAGGCCGCGGGGGGGAGAACGGCUUUCGGGUGUUAACCGCUUUCGCCUGUGACGAAGCGUGAGUGACGGUAAUGGGUAAAGAAGCACCGGCUAACUACGUG